rnacentral:rRNA from 1 species
GUGAACGCUGGCGGUAGGCCUAACACAUGCAAGUCGAACGGCAGCACAGUAAGAGCUUGCUCUUACGGGUGGCGAGUGGCGGACGGGUGAGGAAUACAUCGGAAUCUACUUUUUCGUGGGGGAUAACGUAGGGAAACUUACGCUAAUACCGCAUACGACCUACGGGUGAAAGCAGGGGAUCUUCGGACCUUGCGCGAUUGAAUGAGCCGAUGUCGGAUUAGCUAGUUGGCGGGGUAAAGGCCCACCAAAGCGACGAUCCGUAGCUGGUCUGAGAGGAUGAUCAGCCACACUGGAACUGAGACACGGUCCAGACUCCUACGGGAGGCAGCAGUGGGGAAUAUUGGACAAUGGGCGCAAGCCUGAUCCAGCCAUACCGCGUGGGUGAAGAAGGCCUUCGGGUUGUAAAGCCCUUUUGUUGGGAAAGAAAAGCAGCAGGUUAAUACCCCGCUGUUCUGACGGUACCCAAAGAAUAAGCACCGGCUAACUUCGUG